rnacentral:rRNA from 1 species
GACGAACGCUGGCGGCGUGCCUAAUACAUGCAAGUAGAACGCUGAAGAGAGGAGCUUGCUCUUCUUGGAUGAGUUGCGAACGGGUGAGUAACGCGUAGGUAACCUGCCUGGUAGCGGGGGAUAACUAUUGGAAACGAUAGCUAAUACCGCAUGAUAUUAAUUAUCGCAUGAUAAUUAAUUGAAAGAUGCAAUUGCAUCACUACCAGAUGGACCUGCGUUGUAUUAGCUAGUUGGUGAGGUAACGGCUCACCAAGGCGACGAUACAUAGCCGACCUGAGAGGGUGAUCGGCCACACUGGGACUGAGACACGGCCCAGACUCCUACGGGAGGCAGCAGUAGGGAAUCUUCGGCAAUGGGGGGAACCCUGACCGAGCAACGCCGCGUGAGUGAAGAAGGUUUUCGGAUCGUAAAGCUCUGUUGUAAGAGAAGAACGGGUGUGAGAGUGGAAAGUUCACACUGUGACGG